ACGCGGCCGCCUUCGAUCUUGGUUUCAAUCGAAUCAGCUGACCACCGGCAAUGGCGUGAACUGACUCGACGUUUCGCCGCGUAUUGUCGAGCUAUAGCUCGAAUUCUUUAACAAGCAUGAUACCGAGCAAAGGAAUUCAACCAAUUCGUUAGACAAAUGGUACGCCGAUCAUAAGGGAUGCAGUGUUUUUCUACCAACAGAUAUUAAUUAGUGCGCGACAUAAAUGUCGUAUGUGUGAAAUUAGUUUCUAAACUAAUGGACGGGAGAUAUGAGCAGUAAUAUUUUUACGUAACCCGAAUCUUGCCGACUCCAGCAGGUUAAGAAAGGUGUUCACUCAUCAAAUGAGAUGGCUACGAAACCAGUCGGCGGUCCAAGGAUAAUGGCGGCUGAGGAGUCGAGGAGUCGAGGAACUGAUAUCGGUGCAUUGGCCACGGUAAAUUCUCUUGGUAAUUGGCGAGCAGCGAGAGCUACAGCGAAGACAUCGAUGGAUAAUGCGGCGCGGAGAACGUAAUAGGCAACACGGCGCGGUUCAUGGCAUAACCUAUGUACGCUGUGGUAAAUUCUCUCGGUAAUUGCGAACAAGAGGCAGAGGGUGUGGGUGCUGAUGGAAUCCCGAGGGAAGGAUAAUGGCCGGAGAACGUUUCGCCGCGACACAAAGCGGCGAGUUUGCUGGUACUCGACCGGACAGAUCCGUUCUCCGCGUAUGCUAACAAACGGAAUUACAAGCCUGCGAUAUUAUGAUAUCGGAUACCCUCGAGGAAUACUUUGUCCGACGUGGAAUUCUAUCCUCGCUAAACUUCGCCCUCCCUGGUGUAAUACCGUGAAAAACAUCGAAACGUAUGAGCAUAAUAACCGCGACACGGCGGUCGUCGAUGAGAGUGAGAAGCAAUUCCCCGUGAAAUCGAUGGAUAAGUCGCGAGCCGCCGUUCAUGCCAGCACCGAUACGCGAUUUAUAUUAUAUUCCUAAACUUAGCAUAAACACGGGACGCUAUGAUUGGCCGUAUAACGGAUGACAAGCAUCACAAGCGAAUUCCUGUAAUAAUUGCGAGGCAGAAGUGCAGCGCGGGUGCACUUGGAAUCCCGGAGAAAGGAUAAUAGCCGUGGAACGUGUCCAGUCACGGUUUGUAUCGUAUUCCUUGAAUAUUGGACGAGCACGUACCACUCGAGCUAUCGGUUUUAAUACGCCGCGCGAACAUAAUUUAACCAUCCGACUGUCGACGGAUAAAAUAUCGUCGACUGGCUUACACGAACGCUUGUAAUCCGGCCUUUUAAAGGAACAGUACCGGCGAAUUAAAGCCGCGAAUACCUAUGCGAUCCGGUUAAAAGGGGGAUUCUGUUGGCGAAACGAUUUGUUCCGCGCGACAUACGUUGUAUCAGCGAAGUCGUCUCCUUCCUCGGAAAAUAUUGUAAUAAUUCGAACAAUCGUACGGUAAAAAAUACGCGAUGGCCGAUCUGGUUAGUGUCAGAGAGAAACAACUCGAAUUUCCGAUAAUUGGAACGAUCACCGAGCAGGUUUCUCUUUUACUCGGAAUGCUACAACCCGAAAGUCAUACGAAUUUUAGCGAAAUAAUUUGCAUUGCAGAAAAAGAUCAUUGUUUUCGGUUGGGAAAAAUUAGUCGUAAAAAUUUGAAUUUAAAUUUUCAAAUCUUUAAACCUUCGAGGAGAUCGACUGGAGAUCUAGCACAAGGAGCAUAAAUAACUCGAAGCUGUAAUCGUGAACAAAGAAACGAUCACGACCUCCUAUUCCAAACGAUAAUGGAAAAGCUAGGGAACCGUGAGGUAAUUCAUACUCUUUUUUACAAGAGUACCGACUCGAGAGGUUUCCUCAAGCCGCACCCUGCGCCACCCAAACGUAAUCUCGGUAAUAUUUCUAACCGAGCCCUUGACGCCGAGGUUGAGAUUGGGGGCGGAUAAAUUACGGGGCGUAAACUGCAUCCUGACAGUAAAUUACUCGAUAGCGGUAGACGAUACCGUGGAACGUGGCGCCUACGCGUGAAACUACAUCUACUUCCAUAAUCCUAGGACUCCUGAUCCGCAGGAUUCCUGCGAGAAUGUUACGAGGAUACCAUCGCGAUUCCUAUCUUUUGUCCGAUAAAUUUCCUUUUUUCUCGCGGUUCUGAGAGAUCUCGACGUCGAUCGACCGAGAAAAACGAUGGUUUAAUUGCCUGAAUAAUAUUAUAUUCUUAAUUUCGACGCAUAGGACAGAAUCUAUUCCAAUUUGUCCGUGACUGAAAGAGCGAGAACAAAUCGGAGAGAGAUUGAAUAAAUUUGAAUACUCGUAGCGGCAGGCACGUGGCUGCGCUCAGCUGUUUUCAUGGAUAACAUCUUCGUCAUCCCGUGUAGCGGUGUAUUUCUAGCGAGAAAAAAAUAUCGAAACCACCGUCGAAGGUCGGAUUCCAGUGAAUCUCUGCAUUCUAUUAACGUGUUAUCGCAGCUGUAUCUUCGGGAAGUUACGAUAAAGGUCCACUGGCGGAUGGCGCCAUUCAGCGACGUAUAAUCGUUAUACUCUCUCGUGUUGUUGCAACAAGAUGAUUCAAUCAUACGUUAAAUGUCGCCGAUGCUAACAUUUCUUUAUUUUUCCAAUUUUUCGAUAGCUUUUCAAGUAGCUCGUAAGAAAUGCGUCAAGUCGUAAGCUAAGAUCUCAUAGGAUCUUCUAGAGUGAACGUAACUGAAUCGAACGUCACUCCUAUAAUUUUUACAAAAGCAUCGAUUUCCCAACCGGUAUAAUUAUAUAUCGCUCGCGGUAUCAAAGUUCACAGGCGGCUAGAACCAACGGCGGAUGUACGUUAGAGCGUGCGCGUUCCUUGUUAACCGAUGGGAAUAGAUUUCUGAUUCUAUCCACAGUCGCGGCGGGCGUCUCUUGUGCUAAGAGAGCACCGCCAGCAAACGAUUUCGCAAAUGGAUCGUUUCCACGGCGAGCCCAUCAACCGUGUUACCGAAAUCUACCACGGUGCUGUUAAUAUUCUCCUUUGUCUGCAUCUAAGUCAUCUUUGAAUCGAAUCGUUUCCUUCAUUUAAUAAUUGAGAUUAAUAAAUCGAAUCUCUUCUGAUACGAUCAUCACGAUUCACUGAGGCACGAUCGAUCGUCAGUUUUGCAAUAAAUAUGUUAGAGAUCGUUUAUUGUCGAUCGAUUCGCGUUUACUCGAGAAUCGACAGGAUUCACCUUCCACCGAAGCUUUCGUUUCCCUCGCGAGAACGUAAGAAAAUGAUUUCGUUGUGAACAGACGAUUUGUUACGGCAAGUAAUUUUUGGCAAUCAGUAAACAGCAUUGUUACUUGUUACUCGAUUACAAGCGGUUUCUGUUGAUUGUCCGUUUCAACGAUCGACGGGGAGAAACUCUUGCAAUCGAGGUGCUGGUAGGUGGAUUUCGCAUGCGAAACAACCGUUUUGCGAAAUCCUGUUACGGUGGCCGCAGACUUCAACGGAGGCGCCUAGGUGAAUCGACGAGAAUUAACAACCGCGAAAUUGGAUUGAAUUUAUUAGUACCGGAUUACGACGAAACAUUUCAAACAAUCAAAUUGGAAAUCUGCGAGUUGUCCUAAAUAAUUCUUAGUCAACGUGAUAUGCAAGAUCAAAAAAAAAAAAAAAAAAAUGGAUAAAAGAAGAAAGUAUAAAGAAAUCCCAUUUGGAAACUAGAAUGAUAUUUCCUUACGAAAAUGUUAAAAAUAUUUAAAAAGGUAUCGAGUAUUCUCGGCAUCUCUCGAUAAGAACCGCUAACGAGUAGCAGAUUUUUCCCAAAGCAGUUCAAGCGAAUUAAACCAAACUGGCUAUUCGAGGAAGCAUUUUAGAACGUGUCACCGUAUUUGGGGUUCGAUCGAGAAGGGAACCGCCGUGAACGUCGAGAGAGAAAAAAGGAUCAUGCGCACCCUUGGGGCACGCCCUCAGGGAUCAAAAGCAUUUUGCUUGAUUUCCGCGUGUACCAGUUAUUCAACGAUCCAAACAUUACGUAAACUGACAUUUUCGCGGCUAACUUAAACCAGUCAAAGAGUGCGCUAAUCGGUGUUUCACCAACUCGGACAGAAUUAUUAGCAGAAUUAAUCUUUUUGGAAACUUUCUUCGCAGCGUUCUCAUUGAAUAACGAAUAUUUUAUCUCGUAGUGUAAAUAUUAAAUAAAUGAACAAGUA